rnacentral:rRNA from 1 species
CACGAGAGUUUGUAACACCCGAAGUCGGUGAGGUAACCAAUUGGAGCCAGCCGCCUAAGGUGGGAUAGAUGAUUGGGGUGAAGUCGUAACAAGGUAGCCGUAUCGGAAGGUGCGGCUGGAUCACCUCCUUUCUAAGGAA